UCCAGACAUUGAUUGCAUGGCCAUGAUAA
rnacentral:piRNA from 1 species